rnacentral:rRNA from 1 species
AACGAACGCUGGCGGCAGGCUUAACACAUGCAAGUCGAACGCCCCGCAAGGGGAGUGGCAGACGGGUGAGUAACGCGUGGGAAUCUACCGUGCCCUGCGGAAUAGCUCCGGGAAACUGGAAUUAAUACCGCAUACGCCCUACGGGGGAAAGAUUUAUCGGGGUAUGAUGAGCCCGCGUUGGAUUAGCUAGUUGGUGGGGUAAAGGCCUACCAAGGCGACGAUCCAUAGCUGGUCUGAGAGGAUGAUCAGCCACAUUGGGACUGAGACACGGCCCAAACUCCUACGGGAGGCAGCAGUGGGGAAUAUUGGACAAUGGGCGCAAGCCUGAUCCAGCCAUGCCGCGUGAGUGAUGAAGGCCUUAGGGUUGUAAAGCUCUUUCACCGAUGAAGAUAAUGACGGUAGUCGGAGAAGAAGCCCCGGCUAACUUCGUGCCAGCAGCAGCCGCCG